rnacentral:rRNA from 1 species
GAUGAACGCUGGCGGCGUGCCUAAUACAUGCAAGUCGAGCGAACAGACGAGGAGCUUGCUCCUCUGACGUUAGCGGCGGACGGGUGAGUAACACGUGGAUAACCUACCUAUAAGACUGGGAUAACUUCGGGAAACCGGAGCUAAUACCGGAUAAUAUAUUGAACCGCAUGGUUCAAUAGUGAAAGACGGUUUUGCUGUCACUUAUAGAUGGAUCCGCGCCGCAUUAGCUAGUUGGUAAGGUAACGGCUUACCAAGGCAACGAUGCGUAGCCGACCUGAGAGGGUGAGCGGGCAGCCGGGGAAUGAGACCCGCGACAGACUCCUGCGGGAGGCAGCAGUGGGGAGUGUGCCGCGAUGGGCGAAAGAUUGAAGGAGCAACGCAGCGUGAAUGAUGAAGGUCUUCGGAUCAUAAAACUCUCUUAAUAGGAAAGAACAAAAGUGUAAGGAACUACGCACUGCUUGACGGUGCCUAAUUAGAAAGCCAGGGCUAACUACGUG